rnacentral:sRNA from 1 species
UUCCGCGCUUCCCGCCGGCAGCGGGGGG